GCCGGCCCCCGCCGCCGCCCAUUGGUCGCCACGCUGCACCAUUGUUACGUCACCAGCCGGUGGGCGGGGCGCCCGGCCAGACCCGCGGAAAAGUUGGGAGAAACUUGCGGGCGCGCGGGGGGGCGGGGCUGGCACAGGCCGAUGCGGGGCGGGGCUCCCGGAAACCCGAGCUGCGGGCGAGGAAAGGCCCCCCGGCGGCCCGGGAACGGGAGGAUGAUUGGGCCGAUUUGCGGGGUGGGUCCCGGCGCGCGCGUAGGCGCUCCGGCUCCCUGGAGUGUGACUUCCCUCGUCACCCCACAAGUCCUAUUCCACCUCCCCAGUAACCCUCUGUGACCUUGAGGGAGACCUCCGGAGCUGUUUCCCAUCAGUCCAUGGAGGGGUCAAAGGGCAGGAGCUCUGACUCCUCCUAAGGGACCCAACUGCGUUCUGCCAGGCCAGGGUCGGGGCAUCGGGAGCCCCUGCUUUAGGCUGACGUUCCCAGGGGACGGUCCAAUGGAUGCAGGCAGCUAUAAAUGAGCGCGGACUGUGUGCCAAUCUCAGUGCUAAACAUACUUGAUUUCACUUCAUUUUCACAGUCGAUAGCGGUGGAAACUAUGACCCCCCAUUCACAGGCCAGGAAAUUGAGGCUCGCAGGGAGGUGGCCUCCCAAGUGAGGAGCAGCCAGAAGGGAAACCAGGUGCUUUGCCUACUUUUCUUCAGACAUGGUGGUGGAUUGGGCCCCAGCUGCCCCAGACUCUCCACGAAGGGUCCAAGGUUUGGGGUGCCACACAUGCGGGCACCCAAGGUCAUGCUGAGACCCCACCAGAUGCCCCCACCUGAAGCACUGCCCUACCUAGGGGGGGUGUGAUCUCAUAGGCCCGCAGUGAAGCUCUUGGGGUCCAGGGCGACCACCAGAUUUAGAGAAAGUAGGUCAUUGACCCGGGAAUGUGGGAUCCACCUGCCUCGCCUAGGCUUUCCCCUGCUCCUCUCUCUAGGCCCUCAGUUUCCCUGCAUUUUCUCCCAGCUUUUCCAUUCUGGACGUCUCUGAGUAUGAUGGGGGGAGGGGCAAAGUGAAUGGAGAUCCUGGGGUUGACUGUUUGCCCUCUGGAGCCCCCAGACCCUGGGAGUGAGAGCUUCCUAGGGAAGUGGUGCCCGAGGUGAACUACCUGUGGCUCAGAGCUCGGGCCCCUUGCUUCCUCGUCCUCAUCCUUUUUCAGGGCUGGAGUUGAGACCUCAUGCCAUCUCCAGGACUACCAGUGGAGUGAGGUUGUAAGGGCAUCGGCCGCAGGUGCCAGGGUGUGCAGCUGGCCUCAGGGCAAGUCUCUCUCCACCCCUGGCUUCCCUCCUUGCCUUUCCCUUCAAUUUGUCUUCUUCACUGGGGUUCUGAAAGGCCUCUUUCUAAAAGGUCAUGUCUGACCCCAUAUCUCCACCACUUAGAAGCUUCCUGUGCACAUGAUUAGCCAGAAAGACCAGGUGGGCAGAGGAAAGGCAUUCCCCACUGAGGAACAGUUGGAGCAAAGGUCUGGGAGUGGCUGAAGAAGGCUGAAGAUGUCAGUCAGGAGGGGCCAAGGUUACUUUCAGACUCACCCUCUGGGGUACAUGCUGCUCUGGGUCGCCGAGGCAUCUUCUGCUGGUGGGAGCUGUCCCCCGUGCCUGGCACACGUGUGGUCUCGCAGAGCUUCUGGCUGUGAACAUCCUGCCUAUGUCUACUUGGGGACCGUGCUGGGGCCUGGACGCAGGGACAGGGCGUGCCCCUCCACGUCAGCCUUUUAAUGCCAGAGUACGAGCAGGGGAAGGGCAGAAAGAGGGAGACACAGAAUCCGAAGCAGGCUCCAGGCUGUCAGCACAGAGCCCGACGUGGGGCUCAAACUCACAGACUGAGAGAUCACGACCUGAGCCAAAGCCAGCCGCUUCACCCACUGAGCCACACAGGCACCCAGGUAAAUCUUGGGAGAGAAUACAGGUGACUACCAAGUAACAAGAAGGUCCUGGUUUCGAAGGUUAAUCACACGGCUACCAUAUGACUAAUGCACAUGUCAGUACCAUGCAGCCACAGUCAAGAGCAAAGAGCCUGAGCUCCUCAUUCGUCAAGUGGAGAGAAUCUGCCACAGAGAGCCGUCCUGAGGGGUAUGGAGCUCUCAUAGGACACAGCUCUGCCUGGCACCGAGUUAGCCUCCAAAACUGAGCUGUUAGGAUUUCUUUGUAAAUAUUUCAACACAAAAAUGUUAAAAGAAAAAGCAUACAUAUUGUUUGGAAAGUGCUGGAGGCCACACAUUGAUCUCUUGCCAGCAGUGUCUCUUGGGGAGAGAAUCGGCAAGAAGGAGGAAGGGACCCUUUUAGUUCUUAUUCUCUGGACCUUCUUUGUGGUUUGAAUCUUUCAUGAGGGGCACAUACUCAGAUAUCAUUUGUGCAAUUAAGGUAAGUUUUAUUUAUUUAUUUAUUUAUUAAUUAUUUAUUUAUUUAUUUAUUUAUUUUCUUUAAAUAUCCUCUAAGCCCAACGAGGGCUUGAACUCACAACCCUGAGGUCAAGAGUCACACACUCUACUGGCUGGGCUAGCCAGGCACCCCAAGCUAAGUUUUUAGAGAGGCAGUUUCCAUUGGCAAACUGCUAUCUCAUGGCCAUUAUCUCAUUGACUUACCCAGCAAGGUAGGUUGGAUCAUCAGCCCACUUUGCAGGCGGGGAAACUGAGGCUCAAGGGGACAGAGCUUUGCCCACAGAGAUGGAACCUAUAAGCUUUGUGUUGUCCCAAGAAGAGAAGGCUUUGGUUUCAUGAGUUCCAGGCUGAUGAGGCUGCGGCCCCCUCCUCCUAGAAGUCUCUCCCACUCACAGAAUGGGAGGCCUCAGAUGCAGGUUGGGGUGGUGGGUCAGGGGCCCUCCAUCCCUGGCCAGGGGAGUCGGCAGUCAGCCAGCACUUCUAAGCAGCUUCACUCAUUAGUUUAUCCAACAAACGGGCCCUUAGAGCCUGUUCUGAGGACCAGACGUGAGUGGGCAGGAGAGGCUUCCGGGAGGAGUCACCUGUACCCUCUUGCGUCAUCAGUCAAGUCCCAAGGGCCGGUGUCCACUCUGACCCCAUCCGUCUGCACUGCUCCAGCCCACCUCCCAGGUCAGGCUGCCCACCCCACUCCAGGCUGCAGUCCCAACUCCAGCCCUUGCUCAUGCUGUUCCCUCUGGCCUAGAUGGCCAGUCCCCAGAAGUCCAUGUGGACCCAUUUCAGGUGUCACCUGACUAAAGGAGCCCCCCCACCCCAGCCUCUUUGGGUGCCUACCUCAGUGUCCUGCACUCCUGGGGGCUUCUCCUCUGUCAGACCACAGGGAGGGGCCCGCCUGCCCCUGCAGGAGGGCAGUGGGUGCCCCAUAAAUGCUGAUGACUAAGUGGAGAAGGAGUUAGGUGGGUGGAUGAGGUCAGGACACCCCACGGUGGGGGGAGCAGGCAGGGGUGGGAGCCUAGCCUGGUUGGCUGUGGGGAGUGAUGCCUGAGGUGCCCUGGAGGGCUGGGAGCAGGAAGUCCGUGAUUCAUCUGGGCUGCACCAGAGUCCUGGCCACUAGGAAGCCCUAAGCACAAGGGGGAGACUCAACAGAGAGGCCCAGCCCAAGUGCAGACUGUGGGACACAGACCACGCUCCUCAGAUGGAGGCCUCCUCCAGCUGCCCUGGGGACAGCAAAAGUGGCAGGAGGGGAGGUUGGCAGGCACAGAAAGCAGUGGGGAAGGCAGAAGGCCAAACUUGUCCUCCCUCCCCCGCCAGUGCAAGGGCACAGGACAGCUGCCAGGCUGUGUGACCUUGGAAGCGACAGUGCCCCCUGAGGGCCAAGAAGUAUGUGGCUAAGCCCUCUGGGUCGCCCUGGGAAGUGGCAGCAAGCUGAACACCCAGGGCCAUGGGGACAAGCACAGCCAAAGUGGACCAGGCUAAGACAGCCCCCCACUGUCUGAGCCUCCCGCCUUAUUUUCCAUUGCUCCCUCUUGCGUAGAGAGUUCUGGCUUGCGGGGUGCCUGGUUGGCUCAGUGGGUUAAGUGUCUGACUCUUGGUUUUGGCUCAUGGUUUCAGCUCAGGUCAUGAUCUCAUGGUUGGUGGGAUCCAGCCCCUUGUGGGGUUUUGUUCUGAUGGUGUGGAGCCGGCUUGGGAUUCUGGGAUUCUCUCUCUCUCUCUCUCUCUGCCCCUCCCCAUAGAACAUUAAAAAGGGGGGGGGGCACCUGAGUGGUUCAGUCAGUUAAGCAUCUGACUUUGGCUCAGGUCAUGAUCUCUCCAUCUAUGGGUUUGAGCCCAGCGUGGGUCUCUGUGCUGACAGCAUGGAGCCCGGAGCCUGCUUCCGAUUCUGUGUCUCCCUCUCUCUCUGCCCCUGCCCCCUGCUCACAUUCUGUCUCUGUCUCAAAAACAAACAUUAAAAUAAUAAUAAUAAUAAUCAU